UCCACAACAAGAAAGUGUGCUGGUGAUCAGAUACCAUUCUACUCUGCUUCUAUGAUACUCAAACUACGUGAUAUAUUUAUUACUCAUACAGCAAAGAUUGAAGGGGAAAAACCUCACUACUCAUGCAAGAACAAAAUCAAAAUCAGACAUGCCUCAUAAGGAGAGGAGGAAGAAACAGCUAGAAAAGGAGCUGUGUGAGGCUGCUAAAGGCAGUGGAUCCCUCACCAGCUGGAUUACAAAAAGCACAGAUAAACAGCAAGUGGAGGGUGAUAGUUCAGAUGAGGAGAUGGAAGGAAUGUAGAGGAAAGGGCAAGCCAGGAGAAAAAGACUGGAGUGAGAAAGUCAGAGAGUGAGCCCUCCAGCAAUAUCCUCAACAGGAGCAGCAGUAAUCCCUCAACAGCAACAUUGUACGCCAUCAGAAAUGUAUAUAUCUACACAUGUCGUUCCCUACUCAUGUCAUUCCUGAGCUGCCAGUGAUCCAGACUCCUUCUGCCCUCCAGACCUGUCUGACUCAUCCUGGUGCCCCGAUUCUGG